GAUCCCUAAUCCACCUAGACCAGAGGUCGCCGUCGCAUCCUUUGCCGCAGUCGCCGCCGCCGCCGCUGCAAUCUUCUCCGUCGUUCUUCACCGGCUGAUCGUCCGCUUCCGCCGUCAUCUCCUUCGUCCGCCGCCUGCCCCUAUUCUGAGUUUCUGACACGGGAUUGAGGGAGUGCGGCCGGCAGCCAAACGACGUAGAAGGAAGUAGGAACCACUUCGGCAUAGGAAAAAACGAGACUGACAGGAAACCAUUGGAGAUGAUGGAAUGUUUCCUGAUUGCUUCUUGUUCGACUACAUCCACAAGGCGCGAGAAGCAGGGAAUAAUUCAAAAAUGGUCUCUUUCUGUCAAUUGAUUUCACGCUAAUGAAUGUUGAUGUUGUGAUUUUCUCUAAUUCACGGCGCGUGAGCUAUGGUUUGAUAAUGUAAGAUAACUUGGGAUCUGUACAAGCAGCCAGAAGGGGCUUUGUUGAUCAAGUGUUAACAUCUAGAACAAGCUGAAGCUUUAGCUAUAAGACAUGCUCUCAACUUUGCAGCAGAAGCAUGUUUUCAGAAAAUGGAAAUUGCAUCAGAUUGCUUGACAUUGAUCAACAAGAUGAAGGGCGCAGAGCAAGACAACUCCCAUAGUAGUUAGCAUCAUAAUUGAUGAUAUCAUAUGUAUAACCAUGAAAUUUGUUCUGUAUAUUUCAUCACGUAAAUAUGUCUUGUAAGGAAGCAGCUAAUGUUUUGGAAAAAUCAACCGGACAUGAUGUAGCUUCCUGCUGGUAUAAUGAGUACCCUGAGAUUGCGAGGACCAAUUUAUGCAAAUAACAGAAUUUCAAUGGAUGAAAGCUAAUGAAAUAUCCA